GACGUAGGGCGCGAGCGUUGUCCGGAUUUAUUGGGCGUAAAGAGCUCGUAGGCGGUUUGUCGCGUCUGCCGUGAAAGUCCGGGGCUCAACUCCGGAUCUGCGGUGGGUACGGGCAGACUAGAGUGAUGUAGGGGAGACUGGAAUUCCUGGUGUAGCGGUGAAAUGCGCAGAUAUCAGGAGGAACACCGAUGGCGAAGGCAGGUCUCUGGGCAUUAACUGACGCUGAGGAGCGAAAGCAUGGGGAGCGAACGGG
rnacentral:rRNA from 1 species